GACGGAGGAUGCAAGCGUUAUCCGGAAUGAUUGGGCGUAAAGCGUCCGCAGGUGGCAGUUCAAGUCUGCUGUCAAAGACCGGGGCUUAACUUCGGAAAGGCAGUGGGAACUGAACAGCUAGAGUAUGGUAGGGGCAGAGGGAAUUCCUGGUGUAGCGGUGAAAUGCGUAGAGAUCAGGAAGAACAUCGGUGGCGAAGGCGCUCUGCUGGACCAUAAACUGACACUCAGGGACGAAAGCUAGGGGAGCGAAUGGG
rnacentral:rRNA from 1 species